UUUAUAUGAUUUCUGAUUCAGCUUUCCUUCGAUAGCCAAUGCAUACUUAGGAGCUGUCUGUUAUUUAAUACUUUCAUAUGGCCUUCCAUGAUCAUUCUUAUCAUAUAGUGGUUUUAUUUCCAAUGUUUUGUUAAUACAAGGGAUCUUAAAUACUACAUGCUAGCAAAAUAUUCACUUGUAUAUCUACACAGGUGAUCAACUAAGUCUCACCACUAUGGUGGAAGAAAUUUGCAUGCAUGUCAGUUGAAUGGCCGUGCCAUUUUUGUUGAUCUUCAAACAUCAUCAGAUCCAGCAAAACAUGUUUUUGAAAUAAUUCGGAUUCCUAUUCUUACACGGGAUGAAGACAUAACUAUUGAUAAGAGUGACAUCUUUCUGUUGAUCAGCUGAUGAGAAUCUCAGCAAAUAUUGAACCUCGUGUAAAAGUAAAAGGCAAUGAAGCUAGCACUUGAAUUGAAAGAGACUGUGAGAGAAGUGCUGAAAAUUCUUUGAUGAUCUGGCAGCUGAUAAGAAAUUCUCCAUGAAAAAUGUUUAGAAUAUGCUGAUAAGUUAAUGUUACCUUGCAAAAUAAAUCAAAACUUUUCCAACAAACUUAUGUUACCUUGCAAGAUAACGCAUGUAGUAAAAAGAUUCCAUAUGACAGGAAAUGUUCCACAAGUUACUCAUGAAUUACCAACACUUGGCAAUAUUAAAAAUUAUAAGUACUCAUUCAAGGAAAAGAUGGGUUUGAGUCACAUGGCAUGGAAAAACAAUGAGCACCGGUUUUACCAGGCAAAACAACCACCAUAAUGCUAAAAGUAUUUUUAAAUUCGUGUAAAACACUGAAGCAUUCAAUUCUAGAAAAGAAAACAACUACUCACAAACAAACAAAAAAUACAAAUGCCUUGCACAAAGGUUCCCUGCAACCUGAUCAUCCUCAAAUCCAUUUACACACCAUUUUGAUUCCCUGCACCAUUUGCAUUGUUGUCAUGAGCAAGACCAUUUGCGUUGUCGAAACAAAUGAUGGAGUUGCUCACAAUGUUGAACGAGUCUUUGCGCUGCAGAUUCUGACAAAGUAUGGCCUUGCCGACAACAAUGGUUUUGCUCAUGACAACCAUGCUUUUGCUGCUGACAACGCAAAUGGUGCUGACAACAAUGGUGCAGGGGCUGAUGACAACGCAAAUGGUCUUGCUCAUGACAACAAUGCCUUUGCGCUGAUCUGCACAAAGGUUCCCUGCAACCUGAUCAUCCUCAAAUCCAUUUACACACCAUUUUGAUUCCCUGCACCAUU
rnacentral:lncRNA from 1 species